CCCGCUGAACUUAAGCAUAUCAAUAAGCGGAGGAAAAGAAACUAACAAGGAUUCCCCUAGUAACUGCGAGUGAACCGGGAAAAGCUCAAAUUUUGAAUCUGGCGGUCUUCAGGCCGUCCGAGUUGUAAUCUAGGGAAGCGUCUUCCGCGCUGGACCGUGUAUAAGUUUCCUGGAAUGGAACGUCGUAGAGGGUGAGAAUCCCGUCUUUGACACGGACUGCCAGGGCUAUGUGAUGCGCUCUCGACGAGUCGAGUUGUUUGGGAAUGCAGCUCAAAUAGGGUGGUAAAUUCCAUCUAAAGCUAAAUACAGGCGAGAGACCGAUAGCGAACAAGUACCGUGAGGGAAAGAUGAAAAGAACUUUGGAAAGAGAGUUAAACAGUACGUGAAAUUGCUGAAAGGGAAACGCUUGAUGUCAGUCGCGUCGUCCGGGGAUCAGCCUUGCUCUUUUGCUCGGUGUAUUUCCUGGUCGACGGGUCAGCAUCGGUUUUGACCGUCGGAAAAUGGCUCGAGGAAUGUGGCACCCUUCGGGGUGUGUUAUAGACUCGGGUCGAAUACGGCGAUUGGGAUUGAGGAACUCAGCAUGCCGCAAGGCCGGGUUUUUAACCACGUACAUGCUUAGGAUGCUGGCAUAAUGGCUUUAAUCGACCCGUCUUGAAACACGG
rnacentral:rRNA from 1 species